CCCCUCAACCACCUGACAUUAACUACAGCCCAGCCUUCCAUAUCUCCCAACCGAGUUGCAGGGGACGAUGGAACCCUCGCUCUUUCCCCCACCUCUCUGAGCCUUAGAAAAAGGCUGAGCCUCUGAAAACCUGAUGCUUCCCUACGGGGCAUUUCCAAACAAAUCAGCUGCAGAAAAGAAACUCAAACUCACCGCCAAGGUCAUGAAUACAGGGUGCCAGGAGAAAAGACCUAAGAAUCAAAGAGAACAGACUGACGGCUGGGCACCAGGUCUCUGCCCCUGUGGCUGGCUGGAACCCAAACAAUCCGGCUACAGGAGGCAGGUCAGUGCACUAUUCCCGCCCGAAUGAGAAACUCCGUGCAAAGCGGAGCAGCCAAUCGGGCUUACGGUGAGCAACCAAAGGGGCAAACAUACACCAGUCUGGCCUGGCUUCCCCAUCCGGCAGUUCGGCAGCUCGGAAGCUCAGCUCGCUCGGCAGCUCGCAGCUGUCAACCCAGUCCUAGGAUGGACCUUGGCCUCCUUUACUUCCAUCCUCCACGAGGGGCUCCGCUUCUGUUGUACUGAAACACUGGAUUUCUCAGCUUGCCCACGCUCUCCUGCCGUCCCUUCUUCUGGCUUGUUAAGGGAGUUAAGAGUCCUCUCUGCCUAAAAGCAAGGACACUGGAAGCAGGACAGGAGUCAUCUCUGGGAUAAAGAUUCCGGUGAGCCCUUCUUGCUCUGAGCCAUAUGCCUCAUCAUCCUCUCUGGAGAGAAGACUCCCCCAUGACACAAACUCUGGCCAUUCCCAUACCGUUUAGACAAAAAUAUAGGAGCAUAAGAGACUUCUGCAGGCAAGUGCCAGGAGCUGGAGUCUGGCUGCCUAUCAUUUCCACCUCCUGGGGUGCGGAUGGGGACAGCAAGGACACUCAUUUUAUUACAUCUUUUUCCUUCCUUUUCUCUGUUUCUGUUUUUACAUUUUCUUAGCAGCAACAGAACAGGGAGACAGU